CGUGGUAUAGCUGAGUCAAAUGGUGGUUCCAUUCCAGUUUUCUAAGGAAUCUCCAUAUUGCUUUCCAAAGUGGAUUCACCAAUUUGCUGUCCCCCCAGCAAU
rnacentral:pre_miRNA from 1 species